UGUCUUGUAAAUUGGAAUGAUGGGAAUUUAAACCUCUUCCAGAGUAUCAAUUGGAGGGCAAGUCUGGUGCCAGCAGCCGCGGUAAUUCCAGCUCCAAUAGCGUAUAUUAAAAUUGUUGCAGUUAAAAAGCUCGUAGUUGAAUUUCUGCUGCAUCGUCGCAUCUCUUGCUGAGUGCUUCGUUUCGGCUUAUUUCGGAUUGAUUUUUUCUUUCCGGAUGAUUACUUUGAGAAAAUUAGAGUGCUCAAAGCAGGCUUUUGCCUUGAAUAGUUUAGCAUGGAAUAAUAAAGUAGGACUUUGGUUCUAUUUUGUUGGUUUUAGGUACCAAAGUAAUGGUUAAUAGGAACAGUUGGGGGCAUUCGUAUUUAACUGUCAGAGGUGAAAUUCUUAGAUUUGUUAAAGACGAACUACUGCGAAAGCAUUUGCCAAGGAUGUUUUCAUUAAUCAAGAACGAAAGUUAGGGGAUCGAAGACGAUCAGAUACCGUCGUAGUCCUACCCAUAAACUAA
rnacentral:rRNA from 1 species